CCGCGCGGCCGCGCGCCGCUCAAUCGAUACCAAGCCUUUAUAUUAAAAAAAACAUCAUAUAAUCUCAAUAAAACCGAAUAAUAUUGUUCCUUAAACGAUAAAGAUAAAUAUUUUAACGUAAAACAGUGCAUAACAUUCUUAUAAACAGUGCAUUGACAAUUCUAUUAGCGUAAAUAAGUGUGGCGCAGAAACGUUUAGGAGAGACUAGUGUUCGGCACACCGUGCUAAAUGAAUCUUGCGGUGAAUUUGGAGCGGGAGGAUUACAACAUGGCGGGGGCUCCAGCAUCUUGUAUGAGCGCGGAGCACGGCUGCGUCAUGUUCGAUUGUCUCGUACAUCUGUGGGACUGGAUUGAUCCACCGGUGACUCAUACAGAUUUUCAAAUGGAGAAUAAAAAAAAUGUGACGGCAACGCAACAACCUCUCACGCAGCAACACCUCAUGGCACACCAUGUUCACCCCGAUCAAAUAUAUUCGCCUCAACAUUCACAGUUACCUGCGCAUUUAAACAACCAGUCCGCGCAAAUUCAACCUAAUGGCGUCAUGCACCAGCUAUUGCAAAGUCAAUAUCAUUCCAACAUGAAUGCACGAUCGCCGCUCCUUGAAAACAGACACGAGAUGUAUGGAACUGGUCAAAAUCACGACUACGCCAGACAUUACGGAGCGAACGACAAUUAUAAUUAUGCACAGUCUCCUCCACGCCUCGAAAGAACGGAAAUCCACGUAGACCAAAAUGUAAACCAUGAACUGCAAAAUAUUCCUAAAGGAUAUAAUGCAGAAGUGUACCAAGAUUACUUAAAACGAAACCCACCGAAAGAAAGUAACCAAAUAUAUCAAAACCAUCAACAUACGUAUAGGCCUAAUGUUAAUCAGUACGGAUCAAAGCCGUAUCUUCCAUAUUCAAAUAGAAUAGGUCCACAGAGUAAUACCGAAUUGUUAAGGAGACAGUAUAAUGAAAUACAGCAAAUGAAAAUGCAACAACAAAUGCACUAUCAAAAUCAGGCACAGAUGCAUCAGCAACAAAAAUUUGCUGAGCGACAGUUACUACUACAACAAAUUCAUGGCGUUCAACCACCGCCGAAUUUACAAAAUAGUAUUUAUUCAGAUAGUUCUUAUAGAGAUUUGUACAGUAGUAAAAAUGAUUUCAAAGAUUAUAGCAGUCCAGAUAUACAAAAAGAUAUCGAUAUGUACGCUAAGAACAACGAGUACAAGGAAAGAGACGUACCUAUCAGGCAAUAUCAAGAAACACAAUGGCAAUCUAAUCAACCUGAUUACCGGGAGUCAGAAAGGCAAAAUCAACUGGACCAAGGCAAAUCAAAAAACCAAUCUCAAGCUUCCGAAUUCAACAUUCAAAAGAAUAACCCGGCAGUGGUUUCCCCGAUGAAAUCAAGCGAAUCCAGUACGCCUAGUAUAAAAUCUCCUUCUUUAGAAAGUCGACGGAGUAGUAGUGGUACUCAAGCAUUACGAUCUCCGACUGCGCAACGAAUACCAUCUGCUCCUGUAACUAUGGCUGGACUAUUAUAUAAGCAAGGAUCCGAUGGUCUUAAAGUUUGGCGGAAGAGAUGGUUUGUUUUAUCGGAAUACUGCUUGUUCUAUUAUAAAAGUCAAGAUGAAGAGAAACUCCUAGGAUCUGUGCUUUUGCCAUCUUACAAAGUAUCAGCAUGUACUGCAGACGAUAAAGUGAUGCGGAAGUUUGCUUUUAAGUUGGAACACGCAAAUAUGCGGACGUAUGUGUUAGCUGCAUUAGACCAGGAAACGAUGUUGAAGUGGGUUAAAGCGCUCACUAUGGCCGCUCUUAUGCAAAGUCCCACUGAACAGCAGCAAAAACAAAAUGACCGAGCAGCUGCGAAAACAGAGGAUGGCGAUGAAACAGCAGGCCCAACAUAUGCAAAUGCUCCACCGAAACCGAGACGAUCUAAUGAUGGAUAUAAUUCACCUAGUCCUGAUAUGUACGAUCCAAAUUACGAUCUACUCAAAAAACCUGCAUCACACUACAGUCAAGGCACCAAUCAUACUAGAUACCAGGACACAAACUAUAGCACUAAACAGGAGAUUUACACACGCACCCCGAUAUCACCGCCAACGCAAAUGCCAUAUCCAACAAAACGGCCCUAUGAUAUGCAGAAUCUAUCAUUACCAUUAACUAAUACUGUUUCUGAAACACUAGAUAAAAAUCACACACCCUCCAUGUACAAAUCUAAUUCACAAUCCCCUUAUUUCGAUAGUAGGAAAAGUCAGCAACAACAGGCAGAAGAUGAUAAAAUCGAGAGUCUAUACGAAAAGCAACCAAACUACAAUCCAUUCUUACAAGAUUAUGGACAGAAAGUUGAACAGAAGCAUAAAGUAGAUGAAGUUAAUCAGCCACCUACUGAUUUAAAUAAAAUAUCCAUUUAUAAUGAAAGUUUUUCUGAAACUCGAAGUGACUCAAAACCAUUAGCCGAUUCGAGUGUGUACGGAAGGGAAUUAUAUGGCGAUUUAAAUAACAAGAUAACUAAACCAACAACGUCAAUGAAUGACCGAUUAGCUGAGAGACGCACUCCAGAUGCUUAUAGAAGAUCGACAGCGAUGUCUUCAUAUAACUCUGAAAAGAUCGGGGAUUACGAAGACAUUUAUGCAGCCUACGGUAACGAAAAAACAUAUACAAAAUCACCAAAUCCAUCACGUGAUGCCGUUAGUCUAUCUAGUAACAAAUCUCCGCAAGAACAACCCUUUGGUUAUACGCAAGAAAAAGUUUUUAGUGGACCCUCGGUUUUACGUAGGAAGAAGAUGCAAGCAAGUGGCAUUCAGCCACCGAUGCCACGACCACAUAGUGCCGAUUUCCUAGAGUAUGAAUCAAAGAACGAGGCUCUCAACAAAACCAUGCCGGCACGAAACACUUAUGAUCCACCGAAACAACCACAACGUCCUAAGUCUAGCCUUGAUAUCAAUUCUUAUUACGAUCCUAGUUCAGAUAAAUAUUAUUCGGAGGAAAGUUAUGCACAAAAAAUGCGACAAUCGGCACAAUAUUUACAACAGCAAGGUCUUGGACCAAAAAAUAUCCAAAUCCCCCUAGAGAAAUAUGCAAGUGGACUUGCUGAAAAACAAUUACAUUCUCCAUAUGCUCAAACUAUUAAUAAUAACUACGAAACCGAGUUUAAUGUUAACCGUAAUAUUCGUGAUAAUGUGAGUUACAAUUCAAAGUACAGUGAUCUAGAAGGAAUGAAUUCUAACUGGACUUUGAAGGAAAAAGAUCUAGAAAAACAGAAAGAUUAUUUAAACAGAAGUGGAAGUGUAAUGAGUGAUAGUUCUAAUGUUAGUGGUUUUGUUAAGGAUACUAACAGAUAUGACCCGAAUAUAGAAGGAUUUAUAAGAUCAGCAAGUGCAAGACUUCCUUCAUCUACUGAAAGAGAUGGUGAAAAGAAGGUACAACAGCGUGAGGAGUCAAUGAAAAGACUUUUGGAAUGGAAGCAAAGGAUGUUGCAGUCUCCGCUUACUAGAAAGAGCACACCAGCUACCAUUUCUCUAGCAAGAUCUUUAAAUCAAAGUAGACAAUCAUUGCGAUCAGAUCAGUAUAAGCCUAAGUCCUACAAAAAUGCAUCUUACAACAGUUAUUCUUCAGACGAUGAAGCUUCUAUGACGAUGUCAGGCACGAAUAUCGAACCAAGCCCAAAUAACAACAACAAUAUUAAUCACACAAACCAGCAAAAUUUGUCAAAAAAAGCAUUUCUCGGAAGUAACACAUCUAUUGGAAGGAGUAAUAGAGAUGGCAAUAUACCAGUGCGAGCUGUUAGUCCAAGAGUACGCUGGGUUGAGGAAAAACCGUCUAAUGACCAAUACGAUUCGCAGCUGAUUACAACCUCGCAACAAAAUUUAAAUACAACAAUGGGAGCAGAAGAGUCGUGGGCAACGGUUAGGUCUCCAUCAAGAGUUCAACAACAACCGAUUAAAGCGGUGAGCCCUAGGAUACGAAGGAACACUGAAAAUGAUGAUAUGCGUAAGGAGAUUCAAAAUCAAGAAAUAAGUGAAGUACCAACAGCCGGUGAACUUCUUGGAAGAAGUCAUGAGGAAUUAGUUCUGCUUUUGAUUCAAUUAAGAAGACGCCAUGCGGCGACUCAUCGUGCUAUUGAAACGUGCUGUGCUCAAAUUAGUAGCAUUGAGGACUGUCUGAGUUCAUUAAAAGCUAUGGAGCGAGAAGAAAGUUUGCAACGCUUAGAACAGUUGAAGAUGCAACUCAUGGAACUUGAAAACCAAUACGAAAAAAGCAAGCCAUUGGUACAAUUAGUCGAUAAUAUGGUCAAAUUAGGAUCAUUGUAUAAUAGACCAGGUUCUACUAUUGAAAGAUUGGAAAGAAAUCAGCGUUUACGGCAAAAGGUCCUCGCUGAACAUGCUAUGGAGCAACAAAGAUGGUUAGAAAGCGCUGCAGCUGGCAAGCCUCUUGAAACAGAAGCAGCUAGAGUGAGAGUUGCAGAAUUAUGGGCACUAGAACAAGAAUUAGCCGAUGAAGCUGCAAUACUGCAGGGUUUGAAAACUGAUAAAGACGCCAUCGAUUCUCUUCUUACUGGAGUUCGCAGCAAACUCGAUAGUGUCAGUAGCAGGUCUCAACAAUCGAAUAGCGGUUUGGAAGUGGAGCUCGCCCGAGUGCAUGCCAUGCUGGCGCACAAUUCUAAGGUUUAUAAGAAAUUGGAACAAACGGUGGCUGACAACGCGCGCCUGGAGCGCGAGCUGCACCACCUGCGGCGCGCGCUGCGGGCGCAACGCGCCAACGCGCACGCGCAGCCCGCGCACCCCACCGCCAUGCUGGAGGACGAGGUAACUCGUGUUCAACACCUAGUGUCGGCGCUACAACGUCAAAGACAAGAGCUGAGCCGUGCUGUUAGACAUCUGACGCAACAGUCCCAUGCACUGCAAACCACUCACGAUUCCAUGCCUGCUAAACGUCCUGGCAGGAAUCCGACCACAUGCUGGCAAGAAACUAACUUAGACACAGGUCAUACAGUCGACCACGGUCAAUCUGAUUACGAUUAUGAAACGGGAACUCCAGUUUUCCCACCUGGACAUUAUGGACAAAGCAAUGUUGAAACACCACUCUAUGUUGAUACUAGAACACCUGGAAUGGAUGUGGCAUCGCCAAUUAACAGUGAAGACAUGCAGCAUACUGCUUUUGGCAAUUUAUCGAACGUAGAAAAACAGGAGAUUAAAACUGUUCGUAUUGUAAAAAGAGAGAGUGAAAGACGCCAAAGAGAUAGAGAGCGAUCCUUGCAGCCGAUGUCCGAUUGGACCACCAACAAUAUCACUGCCAACCUCGACCAGUUCCUAGAAGAAGAACUAGUUCAGCCUAUUAAUAACUACCGAGCUUCAUCCUUGCCUAGAACAGAUUACAAUAAAUACGAAGAAUAUUAUACAAAACCACAGAAUGUCGAGCCUCCUAAUUAUCUUCGAUUGAACGAUAAAAAUAUGGAUCAAAGCCCGAAGUACCCAUCGAGCCCUUCCUUGUCCAACUAUGAUUAUUCUCGUGAUAUGUCAUCAUUAAGCAGCAGCUACCAUAAGAGCUAUGACAAAUACGAUCGUACCGUUUCUUUGUCAACCCAGUAUUUGAACAGUCCAACUGAUAGUUCUCGGACGUUGACCAACGACCCAAUGUCGAAAACGAGCAGCAUUGUCAGUUUAACGAGAUCCAAUAUGGAGCUGUCUCCUAUAUUUAAAAGCGAAGCCGCGAAGCAGAUUAUAACUGAAAUGUCAGGAGAAAACAUCAAAAAUGGUUCUAUGCACAGACGACAAGUGCCAAAAGAAAAGAGAAGACAUUAUACUGCACCGCAUCAUUUAAGCGCUAAGACACUUAAUGAAAUGCCUAAGGAUAUGUACAACCAAGACGCUCUGGGUAGGUCCCUGGAUGACGCUGACAUGGAACGAGCUUUAAGAGGAGCAGCACCAGACGUUGUACGGUCUGCCUUGCCAUCUAGAAAAAUGCCAGAUUCUAUUGACCAACUGCUGGCUGCCCCGCAGAAAAUCAUUAUACCAGAGCGGUAUAUUCCUGAAAAGCCUCCAGAACUAUCGCCAGAGGAGCAGCAAAAACGUCAGGAAAAGGUAGAGUCUAUCAAGAAGAUGCUUACCGGUUCUUCUGCUGAUCCCAGCAAGAGCCCGGACGGUGAAGAGAAGCGACAACGAGAACACUUGCUCCAGAUGAACCAGAUCCUUGCCAAGCAGGUCACCGAGAUGAGCAAAAUCAUAGCUGGAACCACCGCCGAAGGGCCGUCCAGCGCAAACAACUAAUCAACGAAAUAUACCACUUUUCAUAUCACGCACAAUUAGACAUAUAGUUGACAUAUAGCAUUAUCAUCAACAGGAAGAAAAUAAAUGAUAAUAAAAUUUUGCAUAGAAUUUUAUUGCUUUAAAUUUCUGGCGGUCCUUAGAAGAUUCAUCCACUAUAUAAGAGCAUGGUUUCGUUUUUUGCAUUUUGUUUAAAAGCCUUGGAAGAGCUGCCUCUACACGAUAACAAUGAUGACUACGAAGACCGAUCGCCUGAUGUCGAGCUGCCGAUUUAUCAACAAAGGGAUAAUUUCUUUACAUGAAAUGAAUAUUCAAAUUUAUUGACCCAUUUUGAAUAACCGUGUUUACUUUGAAUGAUCGCUUUCUAAUCUUAUUGUCUAAUUUAAUCUAUAUUCAUUUCAAUGUAUUCUUAUUUGCAGAUAAUAUCUCUUACAAUUGACGUAGUUUAAACUAAUGAUUUUUUUUAUGAUAUCAUUGUUAAAAUUGGAAGUUUUUCACUCUCAAAACGCAAAAUAUCUUUUGAGGUGAGGUCUCAUCUGAAUCACAAUGUGAGUCGUGGCUACGUAAAUGAGUAGUGAUCUAUAUUAAUCAACGUAAAUCUAAAUAAGGAAAAUCUUGACGCCAUUUAUAUGGCAUAUGUAUGUUGUGUGAAUUGCCUUCCCAAAAGCCUUCCUAAAAUAAAUAAAACAUCCUUCGCUUUCAGCUUACUUACGUACAUAUCGUGACAUAUCUCUGGAGUAACAAAGUACGAUCCGUGUCCCCGGGGUUGAGUUUCUUAUAAUAAUUGCUCAAUUUUAUAAACAUUCCUCCAAUAAACUUUAUUUGUUACGUAGAUAAUGUGUUAUAAAAUGAAUUUCAAGCUGUUCAUAUUAAUUCUAGGGCCAGUUGAUAAUAAAAUUCUCAUAAUCAAUUAAUGGAAUAUAGUCUUCUAUGUAAAGGCCUUCAAUUGUUACGUUAGAUGUAAGAUUAUAUGACUUACAACGUAGAUUAUUUAUAAAUAAAUUAUAAUUAUAAAGAUGCCAUGUUAAAAAGUAUACUUACUAUAGUAAAGCACACGUUUAAUUUAAUUUCUUAAACGAAUAUAAAAUGCGUUUUAGUAUUGUUUCGUUAUUAAAUUAUUAUUAAUUAAGAUGUAUUUUGUUAAACGAAUUAUAUAAUUUCAAUUAAACCUCCUUUAGAUAUUAAAAAGAUUUUAGUUUUGUGUCAGCCGUAGAUAUUAUAUUAUGUAAUCGUAUUUGCACAUAGUUGUCAAUUGUAGGUACUUAAAACUUCUUAUGAAUAUAAUAUACCAAUGUAUUUAUCAAGACUAUUAUAUUAUAGUGUCGUAUAUCCGAAUGCUUCGCGUAUUAUUUGUAGGAAGCAACGAAUUGGAACACAUGUGAUAAACAUUAAUAUACCUGAUUUUUUUAUGAUAUCACUUGUAUACAUCUUUCAAUAUAUAAGUAACCCUUAUAUGUUAGACGUAGACAAUUAGUACAUGACUGUAUUAGCCUAUGUAAGCUUUAAAUAUUAGUGUUAUGACUCCGACAAUUGUAUAACUUUGUUACUGUCGACGUUGCUUCACGUAGCUUUCUAUUAUUAAACGUUUUCCCGGAGUAUGUGAUGAAUAUAUUAUAUAAUUAGAUACAUCUUCGUUUUAUACUCUUUUACUAACAAAACCUUUAGUUAUAAAAUUUUCAUACAAUAUUGAAAAGUCACGAAUUUAAAGUUAUGUAUGGCGAUUCGCGUUAUCCAAUGCGACUUAAGCCUUAAUCAUCCCACGUAAACUAUACUAUUGAAGAAUUUAAAUAUAAUAAAUUGGUAAAAACUAUUAAUUUUCUAGUAAAUUAUAGACUGAUAUAGUUUUUGCCUUAUAAGCCUGUCCUUUAAAAGAUUUCCUAAUAUUUCAUUGUUUAUAUUGUCAAUUAUGUAUUUGUCUGUCUGAAUAAAGAUAACAUUAAUAUUGUU